CACCCUUUUCCUUCAAAUCCAGAACGUAGUAAUGCUGCUUGGCUGCAAAAAUGGGGUUGAUGCGAAUAUCCAUAUCCGCUCCAGCCUCCGCAAUGAUUGAUGCUGAUAUACAUUGCGAAUAUUUGCGUCGUGAUAUUAAUUUACAAACCAUCCAGAAACAGACUACAAGCCCAAAACAGCUCAGCCGUCGUUUUUACCUUUGAGAAAAUAGUUCCUGCAAACAGGGUCUGCACGUUUUUGAACGCCACAGCACGUUUUUCCCUUUCUGCUGAAGCAAGAAUAUUGCACC